GUAGGGUUUUUGUGUGUGGCGUCAUCAUUUGAGAUAUGUUAACUCUGUCGAGAUGAUACCACCGUUAUAAAACACUCUCUUCACCCAAAUACGGCUUUUAGAACCAAGCCAAAUGCGAGACGGCUACUUCGGG
rfam:Sulfurimonas sp. AST-10 Contig07, whole genome shotgun sequence.